rnacentral:sRNA from 1 species
GUCGUGAGAUGUUGGGUUAAGUCCCGCAACGAGCGCAACCCCCGUCGCAUGUUGCCAGCAUUUAGUUGGGGACUCAUGCGAGACUGCUGGUGACAAACCGGAGGAAGGUGGGGAUGACGUCAAGUCCUCAUGCCCCUUAUGUUCAGGGCUACACACGUGCUACAUUGGCGCAUACAGAGGGUUGCGAUACCGCGAGGUGGAGCGAAUCCCUUAAAGUGCGUCUCGGUUCGGAUUGCAGGCUGAAAUUCGCCUGCAUGAAGGCGGAGUUGCUAGUAAUCGCGGAUCAGCAUUGCCGCGGUGAAUACGUUCCCGGGCCUUGUACACACCGCCCGUCACACCACGGGAGUGAGCAACACCCGAAGCCGGUGGCCUAACCCGCAAGGGAGGGAGCCGUCGAAGGUGGGGCUCGUGACUGGGGUGAAGUCGUAACAAGGUAGCCGUAGCGGAAGCUGCGGCUGGAUCACCUCCUUUCUAGGGAGCACCUAGCGGUGCCCCGAUCCAGGGUUCGUCUGACGACGGACCCGCGCGGUCGCCAGGCCCUCGAGGCCGGGCGAUGUCCGAGCAGAUCGGGCCUAGCAUGUCGACCGAACCUGGCUGGAUAGCCGUCUGACGCGGAGGCCCUGACUACUUGGGUCCUCGGCGGCUGCCGGCCGCAACGAUCCCAGCAUGCUGUUGAGUUUUGAGAGACCGGCGCCCGCCGGGAGUCGCGUGGACGCGUCAUGACGACGCAGCCGACAGUACGCGGAACCGGGCCGGCGUUAUACGCCUCUCCACGGUCCUUGAAAACUGCACAGAUGCCACAUCAGCCGCCAUCGAUAAGCGGCGGCUGAAAAACGGGUAUCACCGGGCCCUCCCGACCUAAGGCGUCCCGAUCUCCGCAAGGAGCUCAGGGCGGCGCGGUCGAGUUGGGCCAGAUCACCGUCAAGAUAGUAAGGGCACACGGUGGAUGCCUUGGCACCAAGAGUCGAUGAAGGGCGUGAACGGCCGCGAUAAGCCACGGUUAGGCGCUGAAUAGCCUUUGACCCGUGGAUGC